AUUCUUGGGAUCUAUUUCCUCCUACUGGGUUGCCUUGCCCAGCCCUGAUAUGAGGGUUACUAGAACUUGCUAUGUUGCGGUCGGUUGGUAUCCUUCGGAGACCUGCUCUUUUCUGAAGGAAAACCAAGGAGGAAUGAAUCUGGGUGAGAGGGGAGGUGGGGGGGGGGGGGACUGGAAGGGUGGAAGGAGGGGAAACUGUGGUCUGGAGAGGGAGGAAGAAGGAGAGGGGGAGGGAAGGGGGAGGGAAGGAGGAAAGGGGAGGAGGGGGUUAGGGAGAGGAGGGGAGGGGAGGGACAGGGAAGGGAAGGGGGAGGGGGAGGGGAAGAAGAGAGGACCGGGAGGAGCGUACUGAGCUCAGAUUCAGGGCCGGCUCUAAGCAUGCUUUACCUUGCCUUUUAUUUUUCAGUUCCUGGCAGUCAAAGCAAGCCUCGGACUCUCUAGCCUUUCUUACUCUUUCUCUGACCUCAACCUCUAAUUUAAAAAGCACGAUUACUGUGCCAGUAUUUAAAGCUUGCCUGGCCUGGUUGUUUUUCUCUCAAAGAGAAAAACUGGCUAGUCUUCUGUCAACUUGACACACGAAUUAGAGUUAUUUGAAAGGAGAGAGCCUGAAUUGAGAAGAUGCCUCCAUAAGAUCUGACCGUGUGGAGGAGGGCCCAGCCCAAUGUGGGUGGCGCCAACUCUGGGCUGGUGGUCCUGGGUUCUAUAAGAAAUCAGCGCCCCCCAUGGCCUCUGCAUUAGUACCUGUCUCCAGAAUACUGCCCUGUUUGAGUUCCUGUCCUGACUUCCCUCCAUGAUGAACAAUAAUGAAGUGUAACCCAAAUAAGCCCUUCCCUCCAACUUGCUUUUCGGUCAUUGUGUUUUGUUGCAAACUCUAAUUCUAAAUUAUUUUGUUAAGCUAAGAACCUAAAAGGGCUCCCUGGAUUGCCUGGAACCGUUGUAUUCCUGUACCGGACACGAGAACAAGGCUUUCCCUGCAUACCGAUCUUUACUUAAAGCCUUUAUUUUCUACACAUUUGCUCCUCCCGUCCCCUCCCCCGUAGUCUCUUCAUACUGUACCGCGCUUUGCUAUGUUAUGAAAUAUAAUUACGGGGGGGGGGGGGACCUGGUGGGCCCAUGCCAGGAUGUCCCCCUGAGAAAUCACACCAUGCAAUAGACCUAGUAUAAAAGGGGUUUAUUUAGGCGAAGGGAGAGGAGGAAGGGCCUGUAGAAGAGGUAGGGGCAGACAGAUGGGGGCAGAGAAGGGAGAGACAGCAGAAAGGAGGAGAGAGAUUGCCUGGCUGGGAACACGUGGGCGAACUGGGGUGGCGAGCAGUCUUUUCUUUUUUUUUUUUCUUUUUUUUUUUUAGGCUCCUAGACUGCACCUUACUGCGGCAGGUAAUGGCGGCACAUUAUGAAGUAAGCCCUUGCUAGGUCCCUAGGAGGAACCCAGCGGAAUCACCUGUAAGUCAACACCAGAGGGCUUCAUCAAUCUAGUUGGCCACGAACAGCCAUCUUGUGAACCGAUGUGGCAGCUCGGGAGACCAGAGAUGCUGUAAGGAUGAGCUGGAAAUUUGUGUGACUCCCUGAGAGAAGAGUGCCUGGACAUGACCCCCGACCCCCUUGGCUGCUCUGCCUUCCUGCUUCGGCCUCACUUGCCUUCUUGAGCUCCCGUGGUCCAGCUGACUCCCAGACCACUGCCUGGCUGGUUCACAGGGCCACUAUGGCUUCUCCCAGUCAUCAUUGGAUGGUCCUUAGCAAAUGAGACCAAGUCUUCCUGAUACAUUGUAUCCUGCUGGGAGAUUGGCAGAAUCAAAGAUAUGAUUUGGAACCUCUGAACGUUACAGAAUUUCUUGAGAUUAGUAGGUGCCUCAGAACACACCCAGCCUUUCUUCUCUCCGUGGGACGGUUCAGGGUAUACCGUCAAGAUAGAUGCAUGAGAACGGUUCGCAAUCAAAUUCCUACCUGGUUCCCGCUGCAACAGCCACCUCUGUCCUUCGGAGCGUGUUGCUACCAGACUUGUUUAUCUACCAGACUCCUUUCAGUACAGAUGAGAGCUCCACUUCUAUCUGUAGUUAUCGUCCUUUCCCUGUGAAUGUCCCCCUGAACGACUGUUCUAAUUCUUAGUAGAGAAACUCGCUCGUCCUACAUAUGAACUACAGCUGCAAACAUUUUCAAAAGAGGUGAAGUCAUGCAGUUUUAUAAGACAUAGUCAAGUGUCAACACUUUGCUAGGACUCUUGGUAACCAAGGGUGACUCAGGAUUGACAUUCCGUUGUGCUAGAGGGGAACUGAGACCCUAAAACCUGUUGUCCCCCCCCCCCCCCCGUGCUGGGGACCGAACCCAGGGCCUUGCGCUUCCUAGGCAAGCGCUCUACCACUGAGCCAAAUCCCCAACCCCAAAACCUGUUGUUUUGUUUUUUGUUGUUUUUUUUUUUUAGCAUAACAAUUUUAAGAUACUGCCUACCAUCAGACACCACCCCUCCCCUCCCCUUUCUCCCUCUCUUUUCCCUCCCCCUCCCCCUUCCCCAUGUUUGUUGUUAAGGAUUGAAGCCCAGCGUUUCAUAUCUUAGUCACCUGCUCUACGGCUAAGCUACACCACCAGAUCUUCUGCCCACUUAAUAAUAGAGUUGCAAUGGCUGCACAGCUGAGAAAUGUCCGAUAAUAUUAACUAUUAGAAUCUGAAUUUGACUGUCAGUGGUGGCUCACACUUUUAAUCCCAGCACCUAGGAGGCAGAGGCAGGCAGAUCUCUGCAAGUUCAAGGCCAGCCUGGUCUACAGUAAGUAGCAAUCGAUAUCACAGCUUCAGCUUUCUGCGAGAGUACCACAGUUCAAUUCACCGUUGACUCUUUAUUGUUCAGACUUGUGUAAAUUCGUGCCAGUGUGUCAUUAUUAAUUAUUAGGAUGCUUCCUAUCAUUCCUUUAAAAUAUUGUAUUACUUUUAAAAAGGCUCUUUUAAAAUUAUUUUGAAUUAUGUGUAUGUGUCUAUGAAUAGAAAUGUGCUCACGAAUGCAGUUGCCUUUUGAAGCCAGAAGAAAUGGGUUAGAUCCUGGAAACUGGAUCUAACCAGUUAAAGGCAUGAGUGCCCAGGUUCUCUAAACUGUUGCAACGUCUCUCUCCAGCCCCACUAUUUCAUUGCUUAAAAUAAAUUCCCAGGAAGGAGACUGAUAGAUGAAAGAUCAUGACUGUGUAUAGUUUUUGAACCAUAUUGUCAAUUAUCCACCAAAAUGUUCAAACAAAUUUAUAUGCGUGCUUGAUGCAGUGGCCCACACUCGUAAGUCUAGCACUGGGAACCUGUGACAGUUUAUACAGGCUCAGCCCAGAGAGUGGCACUAUUAGGUAUGGCACUGUUGGAGUGGGUGUGGCCCUGUUGGAGUAGGUGUGUCACUGUAGGUGGUGGUAGUCCUAGCUGCUUGGAAGCAAGUCUUCUUCCAGUAACCUUCACAGAAAAAUGUAGAACUCCCAGCACCUCCUGCACCCUGCCUGCCGGAUGCUGCCAUGCUUCCUUCUUGAUAAUGGACUGAAUUAAUUAAAUGUUGUCCUUAUAAAAGUUGCCUUGGUCGUGAUGUCUGAUCACACCAAGAAAACCCUAACUAAGACAGAGGCUAAGAUAGGAUGACUGCAGGUUCAACACCAGGGUAGACCACAUAGUAAGCUUAAAGAGAGCCCUGAGCUCAGUGGCAAGACUCUGUCCCUCCCAAAAUAUAGACUUACAAGCAGUUUUUGGAGGCUUAUUAAAUUAUACUACUUUGAAGUUCUUUAUUGUCCAUCUGCAAGGUGCUGACAGUGAUUUUACUCUUAUUUAAUCGUUAAUGAAUCUGAGUACUGUCUUGUGGGGUCUCAGAAAAUGUUCUACUUUGAACUUCAACUGCAAGGCCCUGGGGAGAGUGAGUGUUGGGAUGGGUGGGCCUCCACUGAAGCCCACUUAUCUGAAGGCCAGGUCCACCGGAGAGGAGCCAGAUAGUCUUUAGACCUCCAACUGAGAUUUUAUAUAUGGAGGAAUGUCAAAUGGGAGUCAGAGAGGGAGCAUUCUCCCGACAGGAAGUUUUCUUCAAGCCGUUCACUCUUCAUUAUACCUCACAGUCACUUUCUGCCUCUUGGAGUCUGCCUGCGUCACCCAGUUCUCUCGCUCUCCUUUGAAGAGUGUUCUUAAUUACCUGGCCUAUGUUUGUUCUAUUUUAAUUUGUCUUUGGUUUCUUAUAUUCUUUUCUUUUGGAUUAGCUCUCAUGUAACCCAGGCUGGCCCCAGACUCACUAAGAAGCAGACAAUGAUGACCUUGAAUUCCUGACCUCAUAACUGCUGAGAUUACAAGUGUGCCUGCCAUGCCCAGCUUUGGCCCCUUUUUGAGCUUUAUAUUUUGUAUAACUCCCAUGAAUGUCUAUAUAUUAUUAAUAUAUGUGUCUAUUUUUGCUCCUAUAAUUUGUAUAUAAUCUAUCUUUUCACAUUGGAGAACCUUCAGAAGACUGAGGGACAAUUUUCACUCCUUGAAAGCCAUAUGUUUUUGAUAGUCACUUGCAUGUCUUUAUAGAGAAAACACUUACUUAUUUUCUCUAAGUUGCCUUUUUUUUUCUACCUCAUAAAAUCUAUUUAUUAAUUGUUUGUUUGGUUUGUUUUUUUUUUUUUUUUUGUUUACUCGCUUGUUUUCAGAGACAAGGACUAAUGUCGUCCAUGCUGGCCUCUAACUCACUGUUUCAUCCAGGAUGAUCUGGAACUUCCGAUCCUCCUGCUUUUACUUCCCUAGAGCUAUGGUUACAGGUGAACACCACGAUAAUGAAGGACCCUAGUUCUUACUGAAGUGUAAGAGCUAUUAAGAGACUUGGCCUGGUAGAAAGUAGGUAGGUUAUGGAGUUCCUAUGAAGGACCCUAAGAGCUUUACACCUACUGCCUCAGGUCAAGAUUAGGCCAAGUAGGGUUGGGGAUUUAGCUCAGUGGUAGAGUGCUUGCCUAGCAAGCGCAAGACCCUGGGUUCAGUCCCCAGCUCCGAAAAAAAGAAAAAAGAGAGAAAAAAAAAAAAAAGAUUAGGCCAAGUACCAGCUUCCCACCUCGGGUCAAGGAUAGGCCAAGUUCCAUUCUCCAUCCACUGUUUUCCGGAGGAGCAGGGGCAUUCUUGAAAAUCCGAAGACUAUACUGACAUAGUCAGCUGACCCUCUGAUCCCAAAUAGAGUUCGGAUGCAUGCUAUAGUCUGCCUAUGCUUGCUAGCCAAUAGAUUCAAAGGUCAAUAUGUUUAGCCAAUAAGUUUAAAUUGUAACCUUGCUGAUGCAACCUGUACCCCUAAAAAGUAUAAAAACUGCUUGUCUAUAGCCAUUCAGGGUCACCUUCUAGUCAGUUGCCACAAGGAGCUGAUUAAAGGUCGACCCUGACACGCUGGAAAAUAAACCUCUUGCAUUUACAUCGAA